rnacentral:rRNA from 1 species
AUUGAACGCUGGCGGCAGGCCUAACACAUGCAAGUCGAGCGAGCGGCGGACGGGUGAGUAAUGUAUGGGGACUGCACGAUAGAGGGGGAUAACUACUGGAAACGGUAGCUAAUACCGCAUACUAUCGGAUAACCCAUAUGGGAUUAGCUAGUAGGUGAGGUAAUGGCUCACCUAGGCGAAGAUCCCUAGCGGGUCUGAGAGGAUGAUCAGCCACACGGGGACGAGGAAACGGCCCAGACUCCUACGGAGGCAUCAGUGGGGAAUAUUGCACAAUGGGCGCAAGCCUGAUGCAGCCAUGCCGCGUGUAUGAAGAAGGCCCUAGGGUUGUAAAGUACUUUCAGUCGUGAGGCGUUACCGACAGAAGAAGCACCGGCUAACUCCGUGCCAGCCGCCGCGGUAAUUC